GGGAAGGUGGCUGAGUGGUUAAAAGCGAUAGACUGUAAAUCUAUUCGCGCGUAGCGCAAUCGUAAGUUCGAAUCUUACUCUUCCCA
rnacentral:tRNA from 1 species